rnacentral:tRNA from 1 species
GUCAGGAUGGCUGAGUUGUCAAAGUCGUCAGAUUCAAGUUUUGAUCCUCAUGAGAGGGCGUGGGUUCAAAUCCCACUUUUGACA